GACGAACGCUGGCAGCGCGCCUAACACAUGCAAGUCGAACGAGCGAGAGAGAGCUUGCUUUCUCGAGCGAGUGGCGAACGGGUGAGUAACGCGUGAGGAACCUGCCUCAAAGAGGGGGACAACAGUUGGAAACGACUGCUAAUACCGCAUAAGCCCACGGUGCCGCAUGGCACAGAGGGAAAAGGAGCAAUCCGCUUUGAGAUGGCCUCGCGUCCGAUUAGCUAGUUGGUGAGGUAAUGGCCCACCAAGGCGACGAUCGGUAGCCGGACUGAGAGGUUGAACGGCCACAUUGGGACUGAGACACGGCCCAGACUCCUACGGGAGGCAGCAGUGGGGAAUAUUGCACAAUGGGGGAAACCCUGAUGCAGCGACGCCGCGUGGAGGAAGAAGGUCUUCGGAUUGUAAACUCCUGUUGUUGGGGAAGAUAAUGACGGUACCCAACAAGGAAGUGACGGCUAACUACGU
rnacentral:rRNA from 1 species